rnacentral:lncRNA from 1 species
AUUACAGCAACCACUUACUGAGUUAAACUGGUUUUCUGUCAUCAGAGAAAAAAUAUUUAUUUCUGAGAAGCUUAGAUUGUUUUACAGACAUUAUUAGCAAAGGGCUGAAAAAUGCGGCAGGAAUUUGUUCCUUUAUCAUAUAUCUGAGCAGAAUGAAAUUAAUCUUCAGAGGUUUUACUUUAAAUGCACUUCCAGGCAUCAACACAAGAAGGCACUAAAACACUGCAGUUCUUCACCAUCAGUCUAAAAGCCACGUUAGUUUCUGAUUUUCCUCCAGAAAGACAUACUGAAUAAGUUAACAUGAGCAAAAGGUAAGCUGUGGUUUAAGCUAUUAAUCAGUGCAUCAUGCUCUUAGUUCUCAUUUACAUUUAUGCAUACAUCUCUCUGUGUGUUGCUGUGUUUGGGAGUUCAGGUUUUCCAUGCAGAAUGAAGAGAAAAGCCCAGCUGCAGACAGCUGCUCAUGCUGCUCCUUGUCUGAUAGAGCAUACAAUUAGCUCGAUAAUCCAAUCAUGGGGGCAGUGGGAAGGCUGUUGACAAGAAAACCAAAGCAAUGGUAUGUCUAUGGGGCCCGGAAAAGUCACCAGGUUUGAUCUGUGGAUUCCUGCCAUUAAGCCUGUGUAAAGGACAAAAAUAUGAGAACUAAAUGGAAAAAUGAACAAAGUCUUUUCAUGGAGAAGAAUUUUUGGAGUACAAGCUGUUGAAGAAGAUGGUAAGUGCUGGGUCCUGCAACCUGAUGUGGCCAUAUGGGCUUGGAGAAAAGUGGCUAGAAAAUUGCCCAGAAGAAUGGACCUAGAAGAUAUUGGCUGGCAGCCGGCUGAACAUGAGCCAGCAGAGUGCCCAGAUCUCCAAGAAAGCCAAUGCACCAGAAAUAGCGUGGCCAGCAGGACUAAAGGAGUGAUUGUUUGUAAAUGGCACUGGUGAGACCACAUCUUCAAUACUGUGUUCAGUUUUAGGCCACAAGAAGGAUAUACAGCUGAUGGAAUGUGCUCAGAGAAGAGCAACAAAACUGUGAUGGGACUAGAAAACAAGACCUAUUAGGAGCAGCUGCUAUGGAAAUAUAUCUUCUCUACCUGCUCUACUACUCCUUUACUCUACUGUUUUUCCUGACUUUGGCAUAUGUCAGGAUAUGUCAGGAAAAAAAUUGCAAUUUUCCUGAAGAUUUUAAAAAUCCUGUAUGGACAUUUGGUGUUUGAAACUCUUUGUAUUUGCAUUUCAAUUUCAUUUAUUUAGAAAACUAAAUAUAUCUUUUUGUUUGCUAGAAGUUUAAUUGUAAUUCUAUGACAAGCUAAUUAAAAGAAAUAGAAUUAAUUUAGCCAGAAAUUGCUGUUUCUGAAAUGUGUGUUUUCUCUUGAAGAAAAAUAAAAGAAAAAAAGCUAACUGCCUAAAACUGUAGGAGAACAUAUAAAAAUAUUUUAUUUUAUUUUAUUUUUUUGUGUGUUUUUUGUUUGUUUGUUUUCCCAGAUGUGAGCCAUGACAUACAAGUAAAUGAUGUACUAUAACAAAAUUGCUCUCAGAACAUUUAUUGUGGCUAUUACAUAGGAGUAAUAUAUCUCAUGUCUUUCACACAUUAGAGUGUAAGUAAACCAGU